rnacentral:rRNA from 1 species
CGGAUGAACGCUAGCUACAGGCUUAACACAUGCAAGUCGAGGGGUAACGAGAGGGAAGCUUGCUUUCCUUGUCGACGACCGGCGCACGGGUGAGUAACGCGUAUCCAACCUGCCCACAACUAGAGAAUAACCUUGCGAAAGUAAGACUAAUGCUCUAUAAUUUCCUUAGAUGGCAUCUGACGAGGAAUAAAGAUUUAUCGGUUAUGGAUGGGGAUGCGUCUGAUUAGCUUGUUGGCGGGGUAACGGCCCACCAAGGCAACGAUCAGUAGGGGUUCUGAGAGGAAGGUCCCCCACAUUGGAACUGAGACACGGUCCAAACUCCUACGGGAGGCAGCAGUGAGGAAUAUUGGUCAAUGGGCGCAAGCCUGAACCAGCCAAGUAGCGUGCAGGAUGACGGCCCUAUGGGUUGUAAACUGCUUUUAUACAGGGAUAAAGUUAGUCACGUGUGGCUAUUUGCAGGUACUGUAUGAAUAAGGACCGGCUAAUUCCGUG